rnacentral:rRNA from 1 species
GAUGAACGCUGGCGGCGUGCCUAAUACAUGCAAGUCGAGCGAACGGACGAGAAGCUUGCUUCUCUGAUGUUAGCGGCGGACGGGUGAGUAACACGUGGAUAACCUACCUAUAAGACUGGGAUAACUUCGGGAAACCGGAGCUAAUACCGGAUAAUAUUUUGAACCGCAUGGUUCAAAAGUGAAAGACGGUCUUGCUGUCACUUAUAGAUGGAUCCGCGCUGCAUUAGCUAGUUGGUAAGGUAACGGCUUACCAAGGCAACGAUGCAUAGCCGACCUGAGAGGGUAAUCGGCCACACUGGAACUGAGACACGGUCCAGACUCCUACGGGAGGCAGCAGUAGGGAAUCUUCCGCAAUGGGCGAAAGCCUGACGGAACAACGCCGCGUGAGUGAUGAAGGUCUUCGGAUCGUAAAACUCUGUUAUUAGGGAAGAACAUAUGUGUAAGUAACUGUGCACAUCUUGACGGUACCUAAUCAGAAAGCCACGGCUAACUACGUG